CAUUCAUCUCGUAGGAACAUUCCUCUGAGGUGUGUGUGGGGCAUGGAGAGGUGUUUUUGCUUUCUCUGGCGCUGUGCGGUCUGGCUUAGCAGAAGGUGCCCCUUUGGGGAUCACUGAGCAUGCACUUGGGUACGUUGACCUGCCAGCCUCAGGCCUGGGGCAGGGCUUCAGGGGCGUGGCACAGGAUGGUGUGGAGUAGGAGGGCACUGGUGUGAGCAGAGGCGUGGGCCCGGCCAGCCGUGUUGGCCGCGCACUCUGUCAAACAGGAAGUUGGGGGCACGCCUUUGCCCGCCUGCUAACCCUGGCGGUCAGUGCCAUGAUGCAGGUCGCCAGGAGGUCCCCGCGGUCCUCCUCAGCCCCGGCCAUCGCCGCCAAGCUCUUCCAGAGUUUUCCGCCCAAGUUCACGCUUCUCAUUUGAGACUUUCUGGUGCUUAACAGCAGAUGGCAACAGAUUUCCAGACGUGGGGGCGUGGGACGUGGAGGCGUGGGAUUUGGGCACAGCGGCCUCGCAGACUUCCCCAGCGGUGGCAGGAAGUCCUUGUGUGCAGUCAUCUGUGCCUGUGGUGCGGCAGAGCCCGAGUCCCUGUCCAAGCCGCUGCCUUCUCCAGCCGCCUGGCUCAGGGACCGGCAUCCGGCUUUGCCGCGGGGGGCAGAGGGCCGUGGACGGCGUGACAGCCCCUGUCCUGGCCUUUGGGGCCGGAAGCCUCAUCUCUGCCAACACUGGGCUGCUGUGGGUUGGCAAAGGCCCGUAAUUAGUGGUAGCUGCCGGCCAAGAGCCGCAGAGGGUCCAGGGUGGGCACGGCAUCCCCAUCCCGUUCAGGACCCUGCAUCUGUCGGCGCUGUGACGGGCGUGCGCGCCCUGUGCGUGGCACACCUGUGACGUGUAUUUCCAUGACACCGACCCGGCUGCACCGUGGCCCACCUCUUCACACCUUUGGGCUCUGCUAGGCACAACCAGCGGGGAUGCUGUGUGGUUCCUUGGACACUCGGAACCCGGCUGCUUCCUUGCCGGGAAGGGGAGGUGGAUCUGCACGGGAGGGGACGUGGCAGAAUUUGGAAGUGAAAAUGUUUCCGGGCUCCCCGGUGGAGCACCUGGUGCAGGUGGGACCUUCAUGAUGUCACCUCAUGGGGCAGAUUCAUCGCAACGUGGCAGUUCUGAGCCGAGUGUCCGAGUGUGGGGACAGUGCCGUGCUGUGGUCAGGGUUCCUGGAGGCUGGGGGUGUUUGGGGAGCACUUUGAGGUGGAUGAGUCUUUCCGGGUUUGCUCGUGUACUGGGGCCGGGGAGAUGCAGGCUGUGACCUCCCCCGAGAGGACCUGGAGGGGACAGAGAGGCGGCCAGACCGUGUGGACGGGCCCACAGGCUGGUGCCCACCCACGGGGGACGCAUGAGCUCCCGUGGACCCUGCCCUUCCUGAAGGGAGUUGUCCGGCUCCUUCCUGUGUGCCCCCAGCCUUCUUCAGUCCCAGAUGAGCGCCUUGGGGCGCGGCAGGUGGCAUGGGUGGGUCUGGAGCCUGGGUCUUCCGCCCCACCCCAUCUCAGCUGAACCUUGGGGAGCAGAGAGACAGGCAGAGGGGCAGGGGACGGGGUUGGCGUGAGCCAAUGCCCUUAAAAGCAGUGUGGGAGGCCGGGCUUGGGCUCUGCCGGUGCUGUGAACACUGUGGGCAGAGCUGGGGACACCCAGCUGGGACACCCAGGGGCCGAGGUGCACGCCCUGAGCCCAGGAGGAGGCCUGUGCUGGCUGGCUCCCUGCUGGCUCCUGGAUUCCUGCUGGAUUCCUGCUGGGCUUCCUCUGGCAGCCUGCGGUUUGGGAACGUGUGUGCGGGAGGGAGUGGGGAUGUGGGAAGGUGCCACGGGGAAGCCACUCUGGGGACACAGCACGCUCAGAAGCCCGUCCUGCCGCCGCCCUUGACCUUCAGGCUGUGCCCUUAUAAGGGCUGGAUCCCCAGCGACUGGCCUUGGCAAGGAAAGGCUGAGACAGGAGGGGGGUGGGGCCGUGACCACCCGUGGGGCUCCUCCAUGUCGGUCUGGCAAGGUCCAGGCGGGGAGCAAGGACACCCCAGACGCGGGGGAAGACCCCAGGUCCACCUCAGGCAGCCGCCCUGUGCUGCGCUGGUGAGGCUGGGCUGUCCUCGUUGUCUGAACCACUCCCUGGCUGUCCGGAGCUCGGGACCCCCACCCCUGUCACAUGGCUGAGACAGGAGUCCACAAAGUCAGGCAGCUCGGCCACUGCAGUAGGGCUGGUCUGAGCCCCACCCUGCCUCGUCCUAUUGCUCUGUCCCUCCAGGCUCCAGGGUGCCGGUGGCCGUGUCUGGAGCAGCACUGGCCCCUAUAGGGCAGGGGGACUGACCCACACCAGACUCCUGGCCCCAGAGGCUAGCAGUCUGGAGGCCUGUUUCCUUUCCCAUGUGGCUCUGAGCAGGACACUCCCCGGUGUUGUGGGAGGAGCCCUGUGUGACCUGCACCCCUGUCCCCAUCUUGAGUCCCCAGAGUCGUGCAUUCCGACGGCCCUGCGAUGGGGAGACGUCUGAGGCCACCGGACAGGUCUGAUUCCCGGGGUGCCGCUGUGUGAUGCCAGGCCCUGGGCACUGUGAGAUCCGCCCUCAGUGGUGACAAGGGAGGGACAGAAAGAGGCGGGUGCAGUGGGGUGCUUGGAUGCUGGCAGCCAGGGCACCAGUCUCUCGUGGCUGGGUGGAGAGACACAGCCCCAAGGCCCCCGGGAGUUGCCAGCGCCUGGGCUCAGCGUGGCACCUCAUGCCUGUAAAGGACUGGUGCGCUGUGCUGGGCCCAGCCCAGUGCUGCAGGGAGACCCAGGAGGGUGGACCUAGGGCUGCGGGACGGGGUGACACCUGGGCCGAGUCCCGAAGGUGGAAGAGUGUGGCCAGGUCUGCGUGGGAGUCCUGUGCUCCUGGCUGGGGCAGGGGUCGUGCUCUGGGCAUGGGGAGGGGACUGUGGCAGCCAGCCGUCUCCUGCAGCAGGACAGGCAGGCCUGCGGGGUGGGCAGGGCCCUCUUGGUGGGGUUGGAGUCCUGGAAGUCCAGGGACAGCAGUCUAGUUAGUGACACCAGUGGAAAGGUGGGUCUGAUGGUGGUGCCUGUAAUACCAGCACUAGAGGAGGCUGAGGCAGGAGGAUCCGAGUUCCGGCCCGGCCUGGUCUGAUGGAGGUCAGUAGAGUGCCGAGUGCCGGCUAUACCUGGUCUCUGAGGAGGGCCUGGGCUUGGGGAGGGCGAGAGGGGAGGACCAGGGGCCAGGGUGUGGGCUGGGCCCACUGGGAGGAAACAUUUUUGUGACAAGGAGAUAAUUCACACCCCAGGGAGUGCUGUAUCCUUCUAAGGUCUUUGCAGCAGCAAGUUGAGGUGACGUUGGCGGCCACUGCAGCUGGCCCCGGACUGUCCCCUCUUCCCAUGGUGUCCGCCCCGCCCUGCAGUAGCUGUGGCCCGAGUUGCAGGCUGGGCCUGUGACCCUGGGAGGGCCGCAGCCAUCUGAGCUGUGUGCUCCGGGCUGAAGGGCGGCCCGAGUUGGGGCCCCGACGUACACUGCCCUGGCCCCGGUGACGGUGACCGCCUUGUGUCUGUGUUUUGUGUGGACAUCUUGAGGUGUGCGGGGGACGCUGGCCUGUCUCCCACGAGACCCUAGGGUGACUUUGCAGUCACUGAGCAGGGUCCCCUGGCUGAGCCUGGUCGGGCCCAGGGGCUGGCGGGGGGACACCUCUGUGCUGUCCCCUGCAGGUGCCUCUCGCCUCUGUCACCUUGGCAGCGGGGAAGUGGCCGGCUGACGGCCACUGGGUGGUGUCCAGGCGCCCCAGGCUGUAGGCCUGCAGUGUGCCAGGUCCCUUGUGACUCAGGCUGCCAGGGUUUCAUCAGCCAUAGCGCCAGCUGCAGGGCUGGGCCUCGGCUUCAGGGGGGCAGAAGCAGGGCCCCCAGCUCCACCUACCCCACCCCACAGAGCGGAGUCCCCACCUGGCCAGCUGCUUGGAGAUGACAGCACCUUCUGCCCAGGGUGAUGGGAGUGCGUGGGUGCCCGUGCUCUGGAUGGGGAGACUGAGGCUGCAGGAGGCCUACAGUGGGCCGUGCUGCUGGCAGGUGACGGGCGGGCUGAGCGGUUCUGAAGCCGGACUUCAUCACUGCUCUCCUGAGCCCUGCACAGGGUCGGUGCCAGGCGCUGUGGAAUGGAGCCGAGGUAGCCCUGGAGAGAGCGGGUGACAUUCAGGACUCAGAACGAGGGCCCCAGAAUGCCCCAAUCUGGGCCUCCCCGGUGCCUGCGACCACCCCUGCCCAAACCCAGCCAGGCCACUGACCUUGGGGAGGCCGGACCCAGUCACCAGGGGCAGUGCUGGGGGAGCAGAGCCUCUGUCACCCGUCCCUGGACCCCAGUGCCCGUUGGAGGUGAAGGGGUAUCUGGGAGUAUGGGCACGUGACUUGGGACGGACCCUGUCCCCGGGGGACACCACUGGCCGGCUGGCCCCAUCUGUGGGACUCGGGGCUUGGAGACAGAGCUGCUCUGUGACUGUCGGCUGGUGUCACUGUGACUGUUCACCGCCUUCCUGGGUUGGUCGGGGCCGUUGUACUGGGAGCUGUCCUGGGGACCUCACAGGCAGGGCAGCUGGACCUUGUGGGGGACAGGAACAGCUGGAGGGUCUGCCUCUCAGGUUGGGACAGCUGGGAGCCAGAUUCUGGGGGUCACAGCCCCCACUCGCCCCUCAUCUCCUUAGUGAUCAUGGAGCCGCUUAGAAUGUGUGCCCUCGGGGGGAAGGAGGGACCCCGACACCCAGCGCCAGUGACAGCCCCGCUUUCUCAGCGAGGCUCCGAGCUCUGUGUCUGCCUGCCCGUGAUUCUGUUUGCCCCACGCCGGGCGCAGCCGAGGCCCCUGGGGAUGUGGCUCUGUGCCGGCCCCGUGUGUGCAUCUGUCUCACCAGCCUGAGGGCGCAGCAGCAAGGGUGGCGUUGUUACCCAGGGAUCGCCGGCCGGGAGCCCUGGCCACCAGACUGACCUCUCAGUAAAGAAUAGCCAGUGAUGGGUUAGAACGGCCAACGGCUCUGUGGAUAAGACCCAUUGGAGGGCACAGCGCUGGAGCCCCAAGAUCAAACCAGGCAGCUUUGAAAACAUUGGUGAACCUGCUCCAAGCCAGGGCGCGGUGACACAGGCCGGUGAGCCCAGUACUGUGGGAGGCUGAGGCAGCAGGUCAGCAAUUUGAGGGCCCCCUGGGAACUCAGCGCAUUGGUGAGGCUCAGUCCCCGCAUCAGAAAGCUGGGGUGCAGCCCAGUGCGAGGCCCGGAGAGAGGGAGGGAGAGGGAGGAGCUCCCCGGGCACCCGGGGAGUGGCCGGCACGGUGGGCUCAUCUCCAGUCCAGUCUGGAAAUUCCUGCCCUCCCGGGCCUCAGCCAUCUCGCCCGUGUCCCCGGGGUGGUGGCCUCAUCACCUUCCGCCUCCCUGUCUGCGGGUCCCUCUGUUCUGCAGUGAUGGCCUCUUUCAUUCUGACGCUGGUAACCGGUGCCUUCUUAUGGAUCAGGCCAGCUACAGCACCCAGAGCCCGGAGGGGACGCGGGGCAGGCACCCACCCCCAGCACGGAGCCCUCAGGGGCCGAGCAGAGGAUCUUGCUGAGCUUCCCAAGCUGAUCUCCUAACUCUGACCCUCCUGCCUCAGGCUCCUGGGCGGCUGGUGGGCACACACACAGGUGUGCACACUCAGCAAGAGUUGCUUGUACAAAGGGCACGCUCGGCGGCUCUCCGUAUGUUUACAGAGUUAUCCUAGCAUCUGCUCUGUUAGAACAGUUCUCAUCACUUCCAAGGGAAACUUCACUCUGCCCUCCCUGGGUGCCUGGAGAAUCCAAUCUGGGUUCUGUCUCUGUGGAUUUGCUUGAUCUGGACAUUAAAUAUGCGCAGGAUUCUGUUGUGUAUGCAUAUGGAUACUUACAUUUCUGUCUGGCUUCUUUUUACUGAGCAUCCUGUUGUCAAGGUUUAUCUCAGCUCUAGCCAACACCAGCAUUGCAUGCCUUUUCCUGGCUGAGUAAUAUUCCACCAUGCAGAGGUCGCAGUGUGUUUAGCUGCUAAAGGGUGGUGGAUAUUUGGUUCUUUACACGUCUGGCUGUCGUGGAUAACGUAUCAAGUGUCUGUGUACAGACUGUUGUGUGCAUGUGUUUUCCUUUGCUGUGGAGGGAGUGUGGGGUGGGCUGCAGGUCUGAACAGGCUACAGGUUGCACUGCGGUGCAGGACAUAGCUCUCCUGAGUCCGGCCCCUGUUCCACCUUUCCUCAAUGUGGUAUGAGGUGAGGCUAUUGCAUGCCCCAGUUUCUCUGUCCGGGUUGCAGUGGCCCCAGGCGGCCCCGAGUGGGGGUGGACGGUGUUUUCCCAUGCAGGUGGGGCUGGGGCACCUGUGUCCCCACCCCCAGCUGCAAGGCCCUCAGGAGCCCUAACCUUCACCCUAAGGCCUCUUUCCCAGCUCUCACCGAGGCUUAGGGCGGGGCCUGUGCCGGCCUCCCAGCCCCAUGGGACCCGCAGGCCCCGCCCACCAGACCCUCGCAGGUGGGCAGCUCGCAACACCGGGCCUCUGCUCCUGUCCCCGGGGGGCUCAGGGUAGCCCCGCAUCCGUGCGUCCGAGCCUUACCUCGUCCUGGUUCUCCGUCAGCUGCCCCGUGUUCUCUGCCAGCACCAUGAACUGAACCCUGGAUAGCCCAAAAUGCUAAAUGCCGAUCCUCUGUUCAUCAAGGAGAAACUGAGGCACAGAGACGCCCACACAGUGCCGGGUGUCUUUUGGGGUUCAGAGGUUGGCUUAGGGCUGCUGUGGCAGCCUUCACAAGGGACUCCUUCUCCUGUCAGGGGGAAGGACGGGUGCUGCUGGCUGUUUUCUGGGAGGCUCCUGAGCUGGGUUGACUGCAGGAGCUGGGGUGACUUUGGAUACCUGACCGGCGCCCACGUGUGCAGAGGGGACUGGGUACAAGUGGAAACACGGGUGGACGGGAGCUACCGGGAGCCUUCCCCGCGGGACUUACAGUGCCUUUCACCGGGUGGUGCCCACUGAGACCCUGGCAGUUGGGGUGGCUUCGUUCUGUGCCACAUUUCAGGAAGUGCUCCCAAAGCCAUUUUUGCCAACAGCAGAACCCAGGGUCCCACCGGGGUCCUUUCUGAGAGGAGUUGGGAGUGGAGGUACGCAGCCGUGGGGCCCUGGACGGUGCCCGGUGGAAGGUCCAGGGCCCACCCUGCCAUCCAGCUCGAGGUGGGGGGCGAGUGCUCCUCUGGGGAGCGGAUGGGUGGGCAGGGCCGGGGAUUUCGGAGGAUUUUCUAUUUUUAACCUACGAUGUGUUUAACUCACCCAGGAGGAGCCGAGCUCUCUCUGGGCACUACAAAGCCGUUGUGUUUGGAGCCCAUAAAAACGGUUGGCGAAGAGGGUCUCAGGAGCUCAGGGGCAGGCGGGGCCGCUGGGGGUGCAGGACCCGCGGAGAGCAUGGCUGGGAGCGGCCUCUUCUCCCUGCUGCCCAGAGAGGCUGAGUCACUCGUGCCACCACACAGCGACGGGCGGGUGCGGCUCCCUGAGUGCGGCAGUGGGGCCCGGGCACCUUCCCAGGGCCCCGCGGGAAGGGGUGCAGUUCUGACAGCGGCUGCGGGUCCUUCACCAGCUCCCCAGGGCCCUGGGCGAUACUUGGGGGCCAGGUCCGUUGAGCUUGGCUGCGGGGCGCUGAGGCUGCAAAGUCAGCAGCUCCCCGGGCAGCGCAGCGUCCUGGUCUGCUUAGCUCGGGAUUUUCCAACUGCCGGGGAACAAACCCGCCCCCCAGGCCUCUGGGCUGCCAGAUGAAUUGGGAAAGGUUUCCAGUUUCCAGACCCAGGGGGAUGGCGUCAUGGGUAAAGGGUCAGGGGUCAGGGGUGAAGGGUCGGAGGUCGGCCCAGGAUGUCCCCAAGGGAGGAAGCCGAGGACCCUCUCACGGUGUGUCAGCCUCGGUGGCGGGGACGCAGGAGCUGGCCCCGGCUGGGUUUGCCACAUACCCGAGGGAGCGCGGGUGGCUUGUGGCAGUAGGCAUGUGUGAUUCCUCUACAUUUAGGGAGGAGGGGACCCCACCCCGCGGCACCCUGUGUGGCAGCCCGUGUGCUGGGGUGCCGGGAGGGCUUCCUGGAUCCCAUCCCGGCCUCUUGCAGGCUGGACGGAGGGCACAGACCUGCUUCUCCCCUGGUCGCGGGCACCCAGCCCGCCGGCCCUUGCACAAGAGGAAAAUGAGCCGGGUGACAGGCUGUCACCGUGCAGCCCAGCGCCUGGAGGGAGGCCGGGGCUCCCGCUCGGCCAGGGUGCGGCCUGCAGGCCUUCUCCCUCCCUCCCUCCCUCCCUCCGAAGCUAAAUGGAUCUUUCAUUAAGAUCAGCAAAAUCCAUUUUUAACUGAAUUUGAAGGUCACCUGGCUUGGGCUCCCCGGGCUGUGGAGCGGCCGUCAGCACCGCCCUGGGACGGUGGCCCAGGUGGAGAACAGGCAGAGCUCAGAGGCCAGAGGCCCCGUCCAGGACGGCCGUGCGCAGGACCUCGGCCACCUGCCGCCUCUGUGCCACCGGCCAGGGUCAGGCUUCCGGGCCAGCUCAGUCCUGCCCAGCACGGCCUUUCUCUGCCUCACUUUCCUUGUUGUUGGCAAAGUGGUGAUUCUAAAGCCCCUGGGGUCCCUGCCCACCCCGACAGCUGAGAACUUGAGGCCAGGUGACCAUCCUGGGCGCCUGGGCCUUGCGGGUCCUGUUGGGUGCUAGGUCCUGGUCCCCUGGGGUGUGGGUGGGGCUGUGUUGGCAGCAGAGGGUGGCAUGGGUGUGGCAGCCAGCCUUUCCCCCAGGGUCCCCCGGCACCACAGAACAGGUCCCACGGGGCUCACAGAGCAAGGAGCUGGGGCAGGGUCCCCUGUGCUGGCGAGAGGGUUGGGGGCCCCAGGAGGCUGUGUCAUGGAGUCCUGGUGUGUGGGGGCUGGAGGCUGCUGAGAUUCCAGCUGGGGGUGUGGAACCUUCCUGGGCGCCCCCUGGUUUGGACACACUGCCAUCCCCUCCUCAGUGCCCGCCAAGCCCAGCACCCCAGGCUUCAGUGGGGCCAUUGAUGUGGCCAGUGGGUCUUGGUAAAGGCUGCAGGGUCCCGUGCACCCUGGCUUGGGUUUGCACCUGCCGUCUGCCAGCUGUGUGUGGAGUGCAAGGUCCUCGAGCCUCCCCCAGGUCCCUGGAACCCUGCAGGGCCGCCAGCGGCUCUGGGAAGCCCCACAGGAAGGUGGGGAGGAGGGAGGCGGUUUUUAUUUUGAGACAUAAACACCCUCUCCAAGGAUACAGGUCUCUGUGUGUGUCCUCCCAGGCCAUUGGCUGGCCGAGAGGGGACAGCUCGCUGUCUGCACCCCUCCCCCCGCCAGAGCCCUGUCCCUGGCCCAUCGGCGUCCAGGUGGGACCGUAGUGUCCUCGCCUGUGCCUUUCCCACUCGGAAUUUGGGGGCUGAGGUCCCAAGAGGACGAAAUUGGGACCUGUUGUUCAGGGGGUGCUCGCUGCUCCUUCUGUAGGGGGCAUCCGGAGCCCGUGUGGCCUGAGAUCGAGGAGCAGCCGACCGCUGCGAUGCCAGCACUGGCAGGACGCAGGGGGACAGGACGCAGGGGGGCAGGACUGAGGGGGACAGGAGCACAGGCCGGGCAGGUGCUUCUGCUUCCACUUUGCUUUCUGUCCUUGGUAAAAGAGCUGGGCUGCCACCGGCCUUCUGCCGUGUCUCCUGUCCUCCCUCCCGCGUGGCUGUCCGGGGACAGCUCUGACACCCUGUCACUCUCUUCUCCCCUCUGAGGUCUCGUUGUCACCAUGCAGGUUACCUCUCCUAGGGACGCUUGCCCUGGCCCUGGCCCUGGCCCGUGACGGCCCUGCCAACACCUGUCACUGCCGUGACCUCACUGUCCCCUGGGUGCCCAGAGAGGAAUGAGGUCACCCGGCCUCCUGAGGUCACAUUGCGGGUGGUGUCGGGGGCAGGACCUUCCUGCAGCCCGCUGUCCAGGCCCCACCCUCUGUGGGCGCAGCUGUGUUCUGGUGUGGCUGGUGCCUGUGCCCUGCCCAGUCCAUUGGGGGCCUGCAGACCACGUGGGCUGACCCUGAGCCGCAGACAGGAAGCCGGGCCGAGAGGCACCAUUUUUAUCUCCCGCCCGCUUUGUGUUGUGGAGCUGGAGCUGGAACCCAGCACCUCUCAGGGCUGAGCAGCACUGUGCCGCACGCCUUGGCUCUUUUCACCAUGGACGUGGCCUUUCCCAGCCACGGAACCGGCCUUAGACUCACCGGCCUCCUGCCUCAGCCUCCUGGUAGCUAGGAUGUCGGGUCUUGUUCCAGGGAGAUGUCCUGGGGCUGGCGCGUCCCUCGGGCCUGGUGUUCAUUGUGAUGAACACGCACCCACGCAGCUGGCCACGUCAGCUGCUCUUGAGUGCCCAGUCCGGCGGCCAGCACUGGGCCUCGAGGAGAACCUUCACCCGGUUCCGCUCCAGACCCAUCAUCUGCUCAGAAGGAAACUCUGUCCCCUGGGCCACAGGGCCCCGCAGCAGUGCUGCAGGGGGUACUGCGCCCGUUGGUCCGGGCUCCCGGGUCCCCCUGCCGUCUUCUCCGUGAGACCCGGGAGGACACGGAUGGACUCACGUCCAUCCACUCAGUGUGCUUCCGGAAUGAUUUGCUAUGUCUUCCCUUUUCAGGGUCUUUGGGUGUCGGGACGACAGACAGAGACAGCAGAGCUUUAAGAUGGGCUCUCUGGCGAGUUUCUGUGGCUUCUGUGGAACGUUUGGUUAGUGGGAGGCUGAACAGGAGGAGUGCACGUUGAGCCCACCCAGAGUUUAGUGGCCCAGCAAGACCUUGUCUCAAAAUUAGAAAUCAAAACAAAACAAAAAAGUUACAACUCAGUGCAAAGGUCCAGUGUUCAAUUCCCAGUAUUAAAAAAAAGUUUAAGAAAAAAAGGUCCAGAAGGUUUUUGAAAAGUGAGUUGUUGGCAAAGGACCCUCAGGUGAGCGGCUCCAGGUGGGAAGUGCCGGGCCUGGCCGCGCCGGGAGUGGGGGAGACCAGGUGCAGGCCCUGCCCAGCCUGGGGGCGCAGGUGAGGUGCCCAGGCUCUGGAUCUCAUCCCAGAGAGGCAGAGGGGCUGGGCUGGUGUCCCCGCCCCAGUCAGUGCCUGUCCUCCUGGAGCUAGAUGAGGCCCCCCCAGACUGCUGCCCCCUUCCGGGGUGCUGGGAGUGGGGGGCUCGGCCCUGGCAGGGGUGGCGCAGAAGGGGCUGUAGGCUUCUCAGAGCAGAGCACUGUCAGGGGUAGGGCUUGUCCUCAUGGUGACCGGGCUGGUGUGCAGAGCUGCCCGUGGCUCCUCAGGAAGGCCUCCCCGGUGCAGGAGGCCACGCUGCGGUCCAGGCCACUCAGAGACUCAGCCAGGAGCCCGAUGACCUCACAGGGGUCCCUGGCUCUCCUGCCAGAUGCCCUCUGCUCCACUGGGGUCUGGCUGGGCAGGCUUCUACCUCCCUGGGGACAGGCCCCGGCCCCUGGCUGUGCCCACCCCGCCGCUCCUCCUGCUGGCCUGCACCCUGCACGUCCUGGGAGUGGGCUGGGGCUCCUUCCUCACU